rnacentral:misc_RNA from 1 species
GAUGAAAAACGUAGUGAAAUGCGAUAAGUAAUGUGAAUUGCAGAAUUCAGUGAAUCAUCGAAUCUUUGAACGCACAUUGCGCCCGCCAGUAUUCUGGCGGGCAUGCCUGUCCGAGCGUCAUUUCAACCCUCAAGCCCCCGGGCUUGGUGUUGGAGAUCGGCGAGCCCCCCGGGGCGCGCCGUCUCCCAAAUAUAGUGGCGGUCCCGCUGUAGCUUCCUCUGCGUAGUAGCACACCUCGCACUGGGAAACAGCGUGGCCACGCCGUAAAACCCCCCACUUCUGAAAGGUUGACCUCGGAUCAGGUAGGAAUACCCGCUGAACUUAAGCAUAUCAAUAAGCGGAGGA